rnacentral:rRNA from 1 species
UACGGAGUGUGCAAGCGUUUAAUCGGAAUUACUGGGCGUAAAGCGUGCGCAGGCGGUUUUGUAAGACCGAUGUGAAAUCCCCCGGGCUUAACCUGGGAACUGCAUUGGUGACUGCAAGGCUUGAGUGUGUCAGAGGGAGGUGGAAUUCCGCGUGUAGCAGUGAAAUGCGUAGAUAUGCGGAGGAACACCUAUAGCGAAGGCAGCUCACUACACAAAGAUUGACACUGAGGCACGAAAGCGUGGGGAUCAAAACAGG